rnacentral:rRNA from 1 species
GACGAACCGUGCAAACGUUGUUCGGAAUCACUGGGCUUAAAGGGCGCGUAGGCGGAUCAUCAAGUCCGGGGUGAAAUCUUUCGGCUUAACCGGAAAAGUGCCUUGGAUACUGGUGGUCUCGAGUGAGGUAGGGGCAUGUGGAACUUCUGGUGGAGCGGUGAAAUGCGUUGAUAUCAGAAGGAACUCCGGUGGCGAAAGCGACGUGCUGGACCUCUUCUGACGCUGAGGCGCGAAAGCUAGGGGAGCGAACGGG